GGCAGAAGGAAGGCAGUUAGGCUGUUAGGAAGGCAGUUAGGCUGCAGUGAAUUCUACAAAGAGGCUAUGGGAAAGAAACCUGGAAAGUACCCUUGGCUGUGUACAUUUGAGUAAAGAGAGCACUAUAAAAUCAAAAACCAAUGAAAUGGUUUCCAGAACACAGAACUAUUAAGCUUAAGAAAAGGACAGAAGGAACUGAAGAGAGAGGAACUGUUUUGGAGCAUCACACUUCCACCUCAGAAGAAAUAAGGAAGGAAGGAGGAGGGUGUUCCCACGGCUCUUCAACCAGGCCGGCUCUUCAGCCUACAUCCCCAUCUCAUCAAGUAAAAGGGAUUUUUCAACUGGACCAACCAGAUGGUUUAACAGUGCACUCCCACACCAUUCAACUACGCAAGGGAGAUACACUUAACAUAUGCAGUCGUAUAACACCUACUAACAUUUUCAAACAUUAAACCUUUAAAAAAGAGUUCUAAAGAAAUAGAAGCUUGAAGUAUCAUCUCUCAAGUAUAUAGACACUACUUCAUGGUGUGGUAAUAUAUGCAUAUAGAAGCUAGUAAACACCUCCAGGAGAUGCAAAAGGAAUUAGAACUGCCACAAGGUGCAAGCAAAACCUUGAGCUUCUUUAAAAUAUGAAGACUUCGAAGUUAUUUAUCCAAACCAACCUGAUCAUUUCUUAAGAGUGAAUAUACCUUGGAAGACGUGUCCUGCCUUUAGUAGCGUCACAAUGGAUUACAUCCUCUAUAAAGCAGUCUGGGAGGCUAACAUCUGCCACAAGACAAAUAUGGUGCCUGCCCCCAUGGAGCUCAUAUUCGAAUGGAGAAAAUGUCAACAAGUAUCCCACGGAGUGAACACUUCAAAAGGAGAAGCACAGGUGAGAAAAUCGAAUUUGGACACCGUUGAGGAGACUAUUGCAGUCAUCCAAGCUCAAGAUGGUGGAGCUUCAUCCUUGAGAAUAACCAAUGGGGAUAGAUUUAAGAGACACUUAGAGUCUGCAGCCAACAGGGCUGAAUGAGCAGAGAGUUAUGAUUCAGAAGAUCAUCUAAAAUUGAACAGCUGCCACUACUGGCAAUAAGUCUACUGCCAUUUGGUAGAUAACCUUCUUAUCACACAGAAAAAUAUCAGUACAGACAAAUAGACCGCAAAGAAAAUGAGACCAUCAGCAAAGAAGAUAAAGAAGUUUGUACAAAGCAACUUUUUAUAAAUGGAUGGCUGUCAGGCAAAAAUAAAUUUCCUGUGGACAAGACCAAGAGCAAGGCAAGAGGAAAAUAAACAUGUUUAAACUAU
rnacentral:lncRNA from 1 species